AUCAGAGGGAAGGAACAAGGUCUCAAAAGGGGAGAGGAGACAGGAAAUGGGAACGGCAGUGCCAGCUGGGGAAGGUCUUGCAUCUGGCUAUGUGCUCCUGUCACCAAAGCCACUCCUAAGGCUGCACCAGGGCAGCAGUUUGCAGGGUGAUUGAAUGAACCACAUAUAGCACUGGGGAGAAAUGGAAAUCUUUUUUAAGGUCACCAGUAAUAUCACAGAGACAACACCCAGGCUGUGUGAAGACUCAUGAUUUCUGAUGAUGAUAAUAUCCCAAUGGUGGUCGGAAACAUCUAUUUGGUGUGGAUGAUGAUAACUUAUGUUCUAGUGAGUCUAGUCACUCUCAAUGCUUGUCAUUGCCCAUUUGGGGUGGAAUUCUGC
rnacentral:lncRNA from 1 species